UGCCCUGUGCAGUGGGGAGGCUACAUUGGCUCAUAGCAAGGACAGGCGGCAGGAGGACUUGGGUUCUAGUCUCAACUCUAACAUUAAACUCCUGGGGCUGUCAUCAGAGUCAAAGUACAUCUGGCCAGGAUGCAGUCUUUACUCUGAGGCUCUCUUAGAUGUCAGCAGUCUGGAGAUGGGAUACCAAGACCUACAGCCCCCCUCCAGUGGGGUGCAUGAGAUGGGCUGGUUGUAUGACCUCGAUCCAUGAUGGCCUUGAGGACCCUUCCCAGGGAACAGGUGGAUGAUGAUUUGAAGCCAACUGGAAAGCCAUGCCACGACAAGCUGCCUCUGCACUCUCCAGGAUCUUGAGAAGUGUGCUGGCCAUUGCCUGGAGCAGCCGCGUUCAGGGAGGUGUGUGGGGCUGCUGUCACAUCGCAUCAAUGUCCUGGCCAUAGUGCGGUGACUCGAUUAAGUCCUUAGCCGCAGAACCAGUUUAAGGAGUCAGUGAUUCACUCCAUUGGCUGGGCAGGACCAAUUGCAGCUCAGGUCACUGAUGAGAUGCUGGUCUCUGCUAGGAAUGCUGUGGAUGAGCUAGAGAGGGGAUUAAAAAGAAGUUAUUUCUUUUAAAAAGGGUCUUUUAACAUAGGAAAUUAAUAUCUAUCAGGAUGCAACAUGUAGGAGCAAGGGGACAAAGGUUGCCAGCAACUCUUUGAAUGUCAGCCACCCUUCAGUAUCCAACUACUUAGUGUAAACUUGGCUUCUCAGUGCAUUUCACCCUGGUGAAAGGCUGCAGGUUGACAUGCCUAAAUAUUCUAGUCCUUCCCUUACCCACAGAGCAGCCAGCAUGGAUGGCUGUGUAGCCAAGAUGCUGUACAAGACACUGGGCAGUCCAGUCCUACUACUGAAAAGUGGUGGGAGAGGACAGAGAAGAUGUGGCCAACUCCACUUGGCAAAGGGGCGCUUAGCAAAGACACUCCAAGACACUCCAAGAGGCAGAGUGGUCAGCGAUAAUGAAGAUGGCAGCGACACAUCCAGACCUCAAAACAGCGACUGUGAGAACAGCAGUGUCGGCAGCAGCAGAAGCAACAGUGAGAGUGACAGUGACAACAACAAAGAUGGAAUAAGUAAACAAUGUAAACCCCAACAGUGGGGUGAGAACUAAGAGACUAUGUUACUGAAAGGACUGUGGACAGGUGUGCGGGGGCAUGUGAGCGCAGAUGUGACCAUUGUAAUGGGUGCAUGGGUUUUUAAUUCAUUUUAAGGUGUAGAAAUGCUUAUGUGGGAUGCUGAAUAAAUAUAUUUUUUUUUCCCCCCUAACCCCCUCCUCCCCCCCCAAAACAACCCAACUGGGACUCAUUUCCUAUUUCUGACACAGACUCCCUGGGUCAUGGUGUUGUCAAAGGUGCUCGGCUGCUCUGGAUUUCAGUUGGAACUGGAGGUGCUCAGAACCUCCAAAAAAUAAGCCUCAGGACCUCAUCUGUAAAAUAGGCUCCUUAAAGGGUGUGGUGCUAAGGUCAGAGACUGCACCAAAGUGCUGAGGAAGCAGAAGCAGGAAAAUGUAUCUGGGGGAUUAUGAUUUUGUCCAUGUGCUAGCUAAAGCAAAAUGAUUGGUUUAAGCCUGGCUUUUGGUCUGUUCCAAUUAUCAUAUGACUACACAGGUGGAGUUCUGGGAAUGCCCUUGCUUAUGCUAUUGGGGAGUCUAACCCGGAGGUCCUGCACUGGUUUUGGAAGUUUAAAGCAGCUGGGUCAUAAGAUCCAGUUUCUGUGAAGGGAUGACUGGAAAGCCAGUGAAAGAACUACUACUUCAGCAUAUUCCAAACAUGGGAAGUUUAAAGUGGGCCCAGCGAGAGGGACACUAAUAUUGAACCCUGGUGAGUGUGAGUCCUCAGACUACUUCUAUAUCCAUAUGCACUGUGCCUUCCACAGGACAGUGAUCCAUGGCAUAAGACUAUAACUGCCCACAGGAUGGUGUUCUCUAUUAUGUCUCUUCAGGAAGACUUCAGAAAGAGCAAGCCAUGCCCCUCUAUCCUGCAUAUCAUUUCCUGAAUUGGGCUGUUUGGGGCUUUUUGUUGGAUUUGGGUUUGUUCUGAUCAGAAUGAGGAGUUCUUGAGCAUAACACACUCCUCCUUCCUUCUCUGCAUCCCUAGCAAGUCCUGUCUUAGUCUGAUUGGAACAACCCAGACACUGUCCAGGGACCAGCUCUUUCAGGAGCUUGUCUACAGUCCUUUAUUCUCAGUCAUCCCCAGUCAGAUCAAACUCAGCUCACAGCUCCUCAAAAUUGUUUCCUACCUACUUCCCAUUUCUCUUCACAUUAAAGAUGACAUGCCAAACAUUUAGAGUGAAAUGUGAGGCUUCAUGUCCCUUUCAGAAUUGUUGUUAGCAACAGCUUUUAGAACUCUGGACAUUUUUGUCUUCAGUGGGCUUGUCUACAUGUGCAUUUACACCUGCUUAAAUUUACUGCACAGUAAAUGGGAAUAGGCUGGCGUCUACACAUGUAGGCAUUCAAGUGCAUUAACACUGCGUGAAUUGACUUGGGACUAAAUCAGUCCACACGCACAGUGUUCCUGCACAUUAAAGCAUCUACAUGUGCAUUACUACACAGUAACUAACUGGGCAUAAAUUUGAGACCUGCAUGAUGCAGGUCUCAAAUUUAUGUUCAAGUCGGCAUAAGUUCCCAUAUUUACUGUGCAGUACAGGUGUGCACAUGUAGACAUGCACCCAUACUGUACUACUACACAGUAAAUGUGCAUAUAUAGAUGUGCCCAGUGUUGUCCAAUCCUUUUCUGAAUCCAUCUUGAAUAGUUGGCUGUCCCAUCAGCAACAGAGAACUGAGUGUUUCUGGAAAGUCACUAAACACUGAAGGUAACUUUUGUCUACUUCUUGAGGGCUGACUUAGGAGAAGACAUUCCAGCUGGGCUCAGACCAGCAGCUCACAUUCUUACCUUCCCAUUGAUUUACCACCAGAGACCAUUCCCUGUGUCCUCAGGAAUUGUCUUCAGGUGCCCUUGUCAUUUCCAGGGAGACGUCUCUCCUUUGGAGAAGUCAUCAGUGCAGUCCAGCCUGACUCAUUGUGAGAAGGGACAAUAAUCCAUACAUUAACUUCACCCUAUGGGUAAUGGAUUUUUACUGUAAAACCUUAAGUUGCAAGCUGUGGAAAAAAGAAAGCUACAACAUUAGUGUUGAUGCCCAUCUAUAAUAGACCCUGAGCAUGGCCAAGGCCCUAACUAGAUGGUGAAGUGAAGCUGCCAGAAGGAAGUCUUGGUCUGACUUGGUCUUCAUUUGUUUGCCAAAUGAAGGUAUCAGAAAUUCAUGCUGGUGAAAAAGGCCAGAUUGGCAGCUGUGGUACAUGCAGUUCUUUGUUUAUCUGCAGAACAUAGACAGUAACUCCUGGAUUGCUCAGAAUAAGUCUCCACUCAUGCCUGCUCUGCUAAAGGGCCUCAGCUAGGAAAUAGCCAAUGUGUGUUGUGUUUCAGCCCUAAUGGCCUGCUGGGUUCUAAUCUCCAGGCUGAGGUCACUAUCAUAGAUAUCAGUUGUGUUAAUGCUUUGAUAUUGGGUUUUGUCUAUUAAGAGCUGAACUGAACAGCCACCAGCUCGUUUUAAGUCACCGCCAUCAAUCCAAACUAGAAGACAGGCUCCAUUUCCCAUGUGCUGGCCCAUGAGUAUUCAAAUGCCCUGUUGUACUACAUGCUUUUGAAAAGUACACAAGGAUAUUCAACUGUAAGUGAAAUGGAGAGGUUGCAUGCAUCUCAAGGAGCCCAAGGCAGAAAGUCUCCACUGCAAACACCCUCCAUUUCCUUUGGCCACUCAGCUCCAAGUCAUACCUUUCUCCUCAUGCCAAAGCAUUUCCAGUUGCAGGAGUCUCCUUACAGCAGGGGCGGGCAAAGUCCAGCCUAUGGGCUGGAUUGGGCCCAUGGCAGAUUCCAUUUUCCAGGAGCCCCAGCCCAUAUUGCUGCAGCUGGUUUUCAUGGAGACCCCAGCAGUGGCGGCGCCGUGACAGCAUGGGGCCAGAGUUUCCAUGGCUGGAUCUGCCAUUUUGCCCAUCCCUGCCUUAGAGCCACCCAAUGAACUCUCUGUGAGGUAUUGCCACCAAUACUAGCCACAGUGUUCCUGUGAUGAAGGGUUAUCCCCUCCAUCCUGACCUUUGCUUGGAGAGAAGGGCCUGACCUGACCUGAACCUCAGCUGCUGCUCAAUGGGACAAGACCUGUAUUUCUGUCCUGGAGUGGUGGAUUCUUUAAGCGCCUCUUGGGCCAGUGCAAACCUGCAUUGGAUUUCUAUGGCCUGCCCAGAAUGGUCAGUGGGGAACCCCCAGGAUAAGGCCACAAAUUCUGGGUUUGUUCUUUCCUGUCCCUGCUAGCUCAUCUGUCAGUGUCUGAGGAGCAGAGGCUGAGCAGCAGACAAAGAAAGAGGCAGUCAGACUGCCUGACAAAGCAAACCAGCAUGGUGGGUAGCAGUAAUUAUCACGCAGCACACAGCUGAAGGAGACCAUAUGGUAAGGCAAAGGAAACUAACUUGUAUUUUUCCGCUCCCCCAGGCUCAGCCUUUAUGGAGCUUGUCACAGUUGAUUUUCACUGCUUGACUGGCAUGGUCGCACUCGCCUCAGUUUCACUUUGUUCUUGGAAUCAUAGAGUUCUGCAGAGAAGGUGGUGCAGAACCAGAGGGCUGUGUUCUGUACCUGUUACACCUGUAAGGAGGUGGCCCCCCACACACUGCUCCAUUAAAUCUCUGUCCUUUAUCCUGCCCCAUCAUAACCACUCUGCCAUUAUAUUCCUCUGUACACCAUACUUUACCAAAUCCACCAUGCAGUAGGGGCCAAGUUUUUUGGUAGGCAUGUCAUUCACAACUUAGAACUGACCAAAAGAGCUAACCCUUUCCUCUCCAGGAGAAAAGAUUCCCUGAUAGAACUGGAGACUUUAACCUAAAUCCUCUUACUGGACAAGGAAGUUGGGGAAGUUUUGACCAAAUUUGUCCGUAUAAAUUGUUUGAUGGCUUUGUUCUGGUUGUUUUCUUUAAUCCAGUGGUUUUCAAAGUGGGGUAUGCAUACCCCCUGGUAGUAAACAGUGAUUUGCCAAGGGAACGUACCUAAAUUUUAAUAAUAGUAGUGAAGUUUCUGAUUGGUCAACAUGCAGUGAAUAAUAGUGUUGUCACAUGUUGACAGUAGUAUUGACAUUCUUCCUAAGGAAUGAACAUGCAGAGAUAUGUAGAUUUGUAGGAUACAAGGAACAAUACUUUUCCA